GAAAGUUUUUCCUAAGGUUGAGUCAGAAUUUCCUUUCCUGCUGUUUGAAUCGACUGGAUCUAUUGAAUCCACCUUCUGAAGCAGCAGAAAACAAGCUUGCUCUGUUGUCCAUGUGGCAGCCUUUCAGACGUUUGAAGAUGGCGACCAGGUGAGGUGAGGUGAAAAGAAAUGUACACUGUAUUUUAAGGGCAGAUUUCACCACAGAUUUGUGUAACAGCAUCAUGAUAAGUAGAGACAUAUAGGAGCCAACUCCUAGGGGCCGAGGUGCCUUCGGCACACCCAAUAAAAUAUUUGAGGGGUCUGGACCCCCUAAAAGUUGAUGGUCAUUGCCAUUCAAAUGGCGUGCAUGCGCCGCCACACACAAUCUUGUGAUCAGUACUGUGGGGUGGGGUUUACCUGGCCACCCCCAUAUUUUAUUAAAGUUGGCACCCCUGAGUAGAGAUAAAUCGUGGCAGACGGGUUAGCCUGGAUCUUUUCAAAAGCGCCCGGACUUUAUUUCUCAGCACAUUCUUGCCAAAUCACAAAUGAGGGGGAAAACCCAGGUUUGGUGAAUGGGCCUGUAUCGUCUGUGGCCUGCGUCUCGUAUCAGAGAGAGAGAGAGAGAGAGUCAUCGUAUCCUGAGCUCAUAACCUCUAUUUCCUCCUUGAAACCUGGGUCAUAGCGGUACUUAGCUAAAUUAUAUAACUGCAAACAAAGUGUGACAGCUUUAUUUGUAAUUAUACUGCAUUUAAAGGGAACAAGAUGAGCUUAAUGAGUUAAUAAAGUGGCUGUCUGUCAAAGCCCCGCUGCUUUGCAUAGAAAGAUCUCCCUGGUCCCUCCAGAGGCAGACAGGGCCCAGAGCUCAUGAAUAUGCAUCGGGGCCUGUCAAGGAGGGUGAAGGCGGCUCGCCAUGGCAACGGGCCUGCAGGUAGCGGCUUUGAGGCCAGCUGCCCCGAGAGGUCCCAGGCGGCUUGUACAAAGUGAAGACUUGCGAGGGGGCGCUCGUUUUGUCUUUGGCGCUCUCGACAAAACAAAGACAACUCACUCCUUUGGUUGCCUGCCACAUUUUUUAUUCAUAAACAAGCUGUUGCCUGUACUGACAUGAUAAAGCUCAGAGUCUGAGGGGGGAGGCAAACAUCUGAAUGCAAAUCCUCGUCUGGUACAAAUCCAUAUUAUUAUACGCCAGCUAUUCUUCCUCUCCACCGACGACAACCCCCCACCACACACACACACACACACACACACACACACACUUUCCGUUUUUGCCUUGUGCUAAGCUAGGCAGGAUCUUGGUUCGAGACAGGCCUCAGACCCCAGUCGUAGCAGUGCUGGGGUGGAAAGAAAAAUCGAACACACCGGCAUGCAAAGAAAGGCCACCGUCCUUUGCGUGAUUCCUGAGGAGAGAGCCAGAGUGAAAACCGUGGGGCUUCUUUCCAGGGAUGGAGGAGGAUUUUGAUUCAGUUUUCAUCGAAAGGAGAACAUACCUAAUUUGCAGUAUCGGAAAUGGUAUGCGAACCCCAAAGCAACUGUCCUUCAAAAUCCUCACAUCUCCGAAUUUUAAGAUGCAAUUAUCCGGCAAAGAAAUGCAUACAAAAUGCACACAUUAGGGUAAAGUUGUUGUUGUUGAGUCGUUUAGUCGUGUCCGACUCCUCGUGACCCCAUGGACCAGAGCACUCCAGGCACUCCUGUCUUCCACUGCCUCCCGCAGUUUGGUCAGACUCAUGCUGGUAGCUUCGAGAACACUGUCCAACCAUCUCGUCCUCUGUCAUCCCCUUCUCCUUGUGCCCUCCAUCUUUCCCAACACCAGGGUCUUUUCCAGGGAGUCUUCUCUUCUCAUGAGGUGGCCAAAGUAUUGGAGCCUCAGCUUCACGAUCUGUCCUUCCAGUGAGGGUAAAGUAUGGAUAGAAAAUGCAGAUAUUAGCGGAAAUAACGUAAAAAAAUGCAUUCUUUUAGGGAAAAUGCAAAAAGAGAGGGUGCAUUAGGGGAAAAUGUAUAUCGUAGGAGAGAUUUGCACUGAAAUGCUGAUAGAUUUCAUGAGGACUUAAAAACAACAACCUCAAAUUUAUUUGGGAAGAUGAAGAAUUGAACUCAAGACUGGAAAAAUGAGUGAAUCAGAACAAGCGAAUUGAAAGACCGCUGUCCUAGGAAAUUCACACUUCUCUAAAUGUUGCAAAACAGUUCUCUAAAUAAAUAAUAAUGGUUUGUAGCCAGCGCUCAUCCUCCUCAGAGUAGAACUGUUGAAAGGAUAUGACUGACUUGGGUCCAUUAAUUUCCGUGGGUCUUUCUGAGUAGAAUUUAGUUUGAUGCAACCCAAUCGGUAACAAACACUGCACAUAUUUGACGGAAGGGUGCCUAAGCAUUCAUAUGUUGGUGGAAAUAACAUCAUAAAGGCAAUAGGGGAAAUUGCAAAAAUAUAUUUAUUGAGGGAAAACUGCAUUCACAAAUGUGCACAUUAGAGGAAAUGAGCACUGAAAUGCUGAUGAAUUUCCAUCACUGUUUCAUAUACAAAAAAGUCAAACUGAUGUGGAAAUGUGGAAACGGAAAAGUGAGAAACUGAGAGAAAACCCAAAUGGAAAGAUUGGUCCAAGGCUAUGCAGAGGAUCAUACUACCAGUGAGUGGAUCUAGGGAGAUAGGCUUCAGACUUGUUUAGUUAGCCGGUUUCCGGUCUCCUGAUUAACACAGUGUUUAAUUAAACUGAUCUCUGUUUAGUCACACACUUGUUUGCUGAGGGCGAUAACCAGUUUUAAGUCACUCCUAGAGUCAACUGACUGAAAUCAGUGAACGUGACUAAAUGUAGGUCCAAUUAAUUCUAACGGGUCUACUUUUGACUACAAUGUAGGUCUGCAUCUGCACUAUUCAUUUAAAGCACUAUUGGACCACUUUAUACAGGCAUGGCUUCCCCCGCAAAGAAUCCUGGGAAGUGUAGUUUGUUAAGGGUGCUGAGAGUCAUUAGUAGACCCCCUGUUCCCUUCACAGAAUAGUAUAUCAGUCAAUCCCUCUUCCCAGCGAAUUCUGUGAAUUGUAGAUCUGCGAGGGGAUGGGGGAUCUCCUAACAAUUCUCAACACCCUUAACAAAUGAGAGUUCCCAGGAUUCUUUGGGGGAAGAAGCCAUGGCUUCUAAAAGUGGUAUGAACAUGAGCCUCUUAAUCAUAGAGUCGUGGGUUUGAACCCCACGUUGGGCAAAGAGAUUCCUGCAUUGCAGGGGGGGGGGGUAGACUAGAUAAACCUCGUGGUCCCUUCCAACUCUACAACUCUAUGAUUUUAUGAAAUAGAUAGUGCAGAUGGAGUGGGGUGCCCUAGAACAGACACCCCAGUACUGGUUUGCCUUUCUUUUCCUCCAUUCAGGGAAGAAAGAGGCAUGAUCAGAGUUCAAGGACACAUUCCAGCCAGCAAAAACACUCAAGGAGGGUGUGAGGCAGGGCCAGUGAGGGUCAGGGCCUGGGGAGAGGCAUCCAAGGGCCAGGCUUCAUCCCCUGGACCUGAGUUUCCCAACCCUGGAACUAUAAUAAUAUGAGAAACCCAAGCAGGACUUCUGCUUCAGCACUGAAGCCCAGAAUGACUGGCGGUUCCUCGGCCCGUUGACUUCUCUCACGGGGCCUUUCUGGAGUGUUCUGGCAGCCGUGAUCCAAUCAAUGCUGGGCCCUCUGGUUGUGGACAGGAGCUGAGGCUUAAUCCUAAUCUAUAUUGACCGCUCAUUUCUACGUCUGCCAAUUUGCAUCAGGGUCUUAUCUUAAGCAAUGAUGCAAGCCUGUCCCAUUCUCUCACAGGAAUCUAUAAUCAGAGGGCGGGGGAAUUCCCCCCUCUCCUCCUGGCUUUCUUGUUAACGUCCAUUCUGAUGAAAAACACGCUGAUCUACCAGAGAGGUGCUGGGAUGCGUCUGUCUUAAUAUUUAUCCACUUUCAUCUCCAAUCUGUUUAGUCUCUCCAAAUGCCUCUUUGCCAAGGCAAGGACUCUGUGGAAGCUUGUUCCCAAGUUAUGGAUCGUUUGAGUUUUAGGAGCCCAGCUGAAUGGAUCAGAACUGUUCUCAUAGGUGGAGUUCAUCCAUUUUUGGUUUUUUGGGGGGCGAUGGAUGGAACUGUGCAUCUGGACAAACUUGGUACCAUUCCCAAAAGAGGUGUCGAAAAGGAUGAAAAAGGAGAUGGGGCGGCAAGGAACAGCGCUACAGAUUUAGUGUUAGCAAAUGUUAGAAAUUGGUAAAGUGCUAGAAUUUAGUAGGUAAUAUUUGGUGUACGGAAUGGAAGAUUCCAGGCCAGUGGACAAAUACAGGCUAAUCUUCCUUUCCAACUCAGGGCCUCACCUGGGAUAGAGGCUGCUAACAUGACAAAAGGUGUUGAUGGCCCAUUACAGAGAAAUCCCUGGUUCUUUCCCAACAGAAGUUGCCAAGGUUAUGCUGAGCAAUGGCGUAGGUUGUAGGGAAAUCCCAGUUCUAACCACUUCACCCCAUAAAUACCCCCUGACAGAACACGGCCACCUACAGCCUUAUCCCCUAUGGAUCUGCCUAACACCCUUAUAAAGCCACCUAGGGUUUUUGUGUCUGUGUAUAUGUAUAUAUAUAUGUAUAUAUAUAUAUAUAUAUAUAAAUUGAUGUGGGUGGCGCUGUGGGUUAAACCACAGAGCCUAGGACUUGCUGAUCAGAAGGUCGGCGGUUUGAAUCCCUGCGACGGGGUGAGCUCCCAUUGCUCGGUCCCUGCUCCUGCCAACCUAGCAGUUUGAAAGCACGUCAAAGUGCAAGUAGAUAAAUAGGUACCGCUUCAGCAGGAAGGUAAAUGGCGUUUCCAUGCGCUGCUCUGGUUCGCCAGAAGCGGCUUAGUCAUGCUGGCCACAUGACCCGGAAGCUGUACGCCGGCUCCCUCGGCCAAUAAAGCGAGAUGAGCGCCGCAACCCCAGAGUCGGCCACGACUGGACGUAAUGGUCAGGGGUCCCUUUACCUUUACUAUAUAUGUAUGUAUAUAUAUAUAUUAAAUAUACAACUUUUAAUUGCAAGUUUCUAGAUCUCAUGGUUGCAAGGACAAGCUUUAAAAGAUUCCACCCCCCCAAAAAAACCCAUUGCGUGGCUAAAGGCUCGUGCGAGGCCUGAGUCUUGUGCCUGCGUUGCAUUCUGUCACCAAUUUCUGAUUAGCUCUGGAUGGCCUGAGUUUAGGUGGUAAUUUACAGCUGCACCUGACCCCGGCUCCCCUUCUGCUUCCAAAAAGCCGGCAAGAGAGGGACCACACGGCUUGGACCGUGACUGCUGCCCAUAAACAUGAUUUAUCGCAGGCCUUUAGGGAGAGACACUACCUCUCUCGGCAUCAAGUUAUUUUACCAGAUGGACUGUCUGUUACGCCAGCGAUAAGCCUGGACAGUGACUUAGCUGAUCACAAAAAGCUGCCUCGUAUCUCUCUCUCCCCCCCCCCCCGGCCCCAAUUCCUUCCCUCCCGUGCUCCUCUGGGUGCGUUUGAGCAAGCUGGUCAGACAUGGCCUGCCACAGCGGAAUACACACAGGUCUGAUGUUUUUUAAUGGGUGAGAUUUGCGUGUUUUAACACAGGGGUGUGGAACCUCAGAUCCAGGGGGCCAAAUGUGGCCCUCCAGGUCUUCCAAGCUGGCCCUCAAAACUCUUCCUGGGCUACACCCCUGACCAGCCCUGCUCUGCACCCUCCUCAUGGGUUUUUUCCUAGGCUGGAACAUGCCCUUGCACUCUGAUCUUUCUUCUCGCUUGAUGGGAGACAGAGUAAGAGGCAAAGGUAAAGUUCGCCUUACUUGCUCCUCCCACUCUUGCCUCUGGCCCCGCCCACCAUUGCCAUGCCCUGCCCCUCCCCUGAAGGUUACACACAGAAAGUAACAGGGCUCUCAGGCUGAAAAAGUUUCCCCCAAUCCCCCAGAUAAAAGACGAGCACAGAAUGUGGCAUUCAGCAGCUCUUUGGAGUUCGCUGGCAUCCUGAGAAUUUCAGCUUUGAUUGAAAAACAAGUUCUCAGUCCUUAAGGCUGCGAGAGAAGCUUGAAAGGCCAAUGACUGGUGAAGUCUCCAAAGCCAGGUAAGGACAGAACAGGAAUCCCAUUGGCCAGACUGACUGGAGCUGAUGGAAUCCAACGAGAUCUUGCGGGCCACGGGAUCCCCAUCGCUUAUUUGUUUUGAUAACACUUCCCGGAGGAUUGGACUUGGCUGUGCUUGCUGUUAAUGCAUGUGAACUGUAGAAGAUGCAUUUUUAAAAAAGGUUUUGUUGUGCUUGGGGCAUCCCAGUCAGAUGGAUGGGAUAUAAAUACAGUGGUACCUCGGGUUACAUACGCUUCAGGUUACAGACUCCACUAACCCAGAAAUAGUACCUUGGGUUAAGAACUUUGCUUCAGGAUGAGAACAGAAAUUGUGCAGCAGUGGUGCGGCGGCAGCAGGAGGCCCCAUUAGCUAAAGUGGUGCUUCAGGUUAAGAAGAGUUUCAGGUUAAGAAUAGACCUCCGGAACGAAUUAAGUUAUUAACCCAAGGUACCACUGUAUAGCAGCAGCAGCAGUAGCCGUUCCUAUUUUUAUUGCAGAAAUGUUGGAGAGUAUGAUAUCCCACUUUUCCUCCUAAGAGCUCAGUGUGGUAUGAAUGGUUCUUCCCUCUUUCCCCCACUUGUCAGCCUCAAAAAUCCUCAAACACAACCCUGAGAAGUAGGCUGGGCUGAGAGACAGUGGCUGUCCUAGGGGAGCUUUGUGGCAGAGCAGAGAUUUGAACUCUGGUGGCUGCAGGUUCUAGUCCAGCUUUCUAACCAUGAGACUUGCAGGCCACCACUGCUGGUAAGCCUGGGACUCCCUGUACAUGGGGAUCAUCAAUACAGUACAGGAUCAGACCCAUAGAAGGCCCUUUGCGAGUAGCUAGCCCUGGUCCGUGGAACGGGCACCAGCCUGAGCAGCAAGCAGGUGGAAAAUAAGAAAUCUCUCUCACACAAAUAUGCUAAAUGACGAGACCCUCCACCUCCAACACCCCCCCCACCCCGGCCACCCAUCUUUUAGCUGCGGUCUUCAUCCCUCGGCAUAGAGAACAGGCCUGUUCAUCCGCCAACCGUAGAAAAUCUCAAUUUCCCACAUAAAAAUAUUAGCGCUUGGGCUUAAAAUAUUAACAUUUGGAUUGCGUUGCCCUUGGAAGCUCGGGGCUUGAAUCGGAGUUUGGCAUCAGCAGUUUAGACACAGAUACGGCUUUUUUUAAUAAAAAUAUUUUUUUAAAAGACUGUAAGCGUGGCAGCUUUUCAGCGUGCAUUAUUUCACAGAGAAAGGUGUCUUUAAAAGGGAUAUGAUGAGGGAAGGGGGAGGAGGAGAGGGAUGGGCUGUGCUUUGCGAUAUUAUGGUAGCUCUCUCACAUUGGUAUUACACAGUCUAAAUUCAGCUAAAGGGAUUGCAAUGGCUGCCAGUUAGUUCCUGGGUUAAGUUCAAGGUGCUGGCACUGGGGCGCAGAGCCCUAUAUAGCUUGGGGCCAGGAUACCUGGGGGGAUGUCUCACCCCUUGCAAACCUGGCUGGCUACGGAGAGGCAGAUCCCAUCUUAUCACGAGGUCUGCUCUUUAUGGUGGAAGAACAGGGCCUUUGCUGUGGUGGCACCCGUGCUUUGGAGCUCUCUCCUACAUUUCUCAGAUGAAAAUAGUGACAGCCUAUGCUACACCAGGAAGCUUCUCCCUUGUUUGAUCUCCCUCUUGUGGGCCAGGUGUCAGCUUUGCCUGCUGAAGCUAAAGGGCAGGCAUAGGCAAACUUGGCCCUCCAGAUGCUUUGGGACUACAACUCCCAUCAUCCCUGACCACUGGUCCUGUUAGCUAGGGAUGAUGGGAGCUGUAGUCCCAAAAAACAUCCGGAGGGCUGAGUUUGCCUAUGCCUGCUGAAGGCUGUGCUGGUCCCGGGGGCUAACUGAGAGGCGAGGUCCGAGUCCAGUCUGAGGUCGAGGGUGCGGUAUGGAGGCUGUCCAUCAAAGCUGUAGCUGGGUCCAAGGUGGGGAGUCAGGUGGGGUCAGGAACUCUGGCAGAAGAGCAGGACAGGGUGCAGGCAGGAACAGGCUAGCAACAACGUUGCUCCCACACCCUGGGACUGGGGCUGACUGGCUUUUAUCUGCCCCAAGGCAUAGGGCGGCCCCGGUCCACAGGUGACUUGCCUCUCCUGGCCUGGAGGCGAGCACUCCUCCUGCGGGAACUUAGUUCCCUCCGCCUCUCUGCCCUGAGCCUCUGCAGCUCAGGAGAGGCUGGGGGGUUACUGGACCCAGAGGCAACCUCCUCUUCCCCUGAUGGGGCUGAGAGUGGAGCACCUGCAGGCAAUGGGUCCUCCAUCACCUCAGGGGCUAGAGCAGACUCAGCUGGUGCCUGCACUUGAGGAUCCAGCACGGGUGAGGACCCUUCAGGCUCAGGCCCCAGCCCCGGCUCAGCUGGUUCUGGAGGCAGGGCCUCUUGUGCAGGCUGGGAUUCCUCAGGUUCAGCCUCCGAGUCUGAAUCCCAGGCCAUCACAAAGGCAGAGUGACUCCACCUGCAGCUGAUCAGCCUUCAAGGACACAGAGGAGAAGGCACUGGAGACCCACCUGGCUUCAGCCUUCUUAACCUUCUUAACCAGAGCUCUCAGCAGCAGUCAGAUGCUGGAAACAACGCCUGUGGUUCCUGGUCCCACCUCCCUGCUUCCUGCUCUCUGUCUGGACCCUUGAUUGUCUGACUACGUGGAUUGCUGUUUGCCUGACCGUCGGAACGGACUUGACUCUGCCAAGCAUAUCUCAGAGACCCUUAUCUUUGAAGUGGGGAAUCCCUUAUCUUUGAAGUGGCUGCUGUGCACGCCACACUUUUCAAGGGUGCAACUUCCCCCAAGGAAUCCUGGGGACUAGUUUAAGCCUACAAUCCCCAGUAUGCCUAACAAACUACAGUUCCCAGGAUUCCUUGAGGCUUUGGUGGGGGAAGUCAUGUGCUUUAAAUGUGCGGUGUGUACACAGCCCCAAGUGUGCAUCUGUAUUGGAUUUGGAGUUGUUUUUACACAUGGAAGUGUUUUUAAUUGUUUUUAAUUGCUUCGUUUUAAAUUGUUAUAAUUGCUUUUAUAUAUUAGAAAUGGGGCAAUUGUCUUUAUUGCUGAUGUUUUUAUUGGGAAACCGCUUCAGGGCAUUUUACGGGAAGCGAUUUAACAAAGGGGCUCAAAAAUAAAACUAAAACUAAAUGGGGAAUAAUUGCCAGCGGUCUGGUCCUUUUCAGCCUAAAAGCCUGUGAGAUUUCUCCACUCUGCUUUCUUCAAUUCCUAAAGAUGUAUUUGCAUUAAAGGAUGUAAGCUGCCCUAUGAAGGUUGGAGUGUGUGCAGGAGGUAUUAAGGACAAGAAAUAUAUCUGGGGUUGGAUAAGCUGGAAUAUAAAAUUCUGUAUGAUCAAUGCAGAUCCUAUAGACCAGCUGCAUUUUCAAAAGUUGGCAGACUAACCUUUGCACAUGGUUUUAGACAGCAGAGGCAGAACACCCUGCUAAGGAAACACAGAAAGCUUCCUUCUACUGAGGCAGACCAUUGAUCCAUCUUGCUCAAUACUGUCUAUACUGACCGGCAGUGACUCUCCAGGAAUUCAGGCAGGGAGCCUCUUUACCUGGAGAUGCCGGGGAUUGAACCGGGAAUCUUCUGCACUCAAGAUACAUGCUCCACCCACUGAGCUAUGGCCGCUUCUUCACCACCUGUUACGUGCCCAGCUUAAGUGCCCACAGAAUCCUUCCUUCAAUCCAGACAGGCCAUUUUGUUGUUGUUGUUUAGUCGUUUAGUCGUGUCCAACUCUUCAUGACCCCAUGGACCAGAGCACGCCAGGCACUCCUGUCUUCCACUGCCUCCCGCAGUUUGGUCAAACUCAUGCUGGUAGCUUCGAGAAGACUGUCCAAUCAUCUCGUCCUCUGUCGUCCCCUUCUUCUUGUGCCCUCCAUCUUUCCCAACUUCAGGGUCUUUUCCAGGGAGUCUUCUCAUGAGGUGGCCAAAGUAUUGGAGCCUCAGCUUCAGGAUCUGUCCUUCCAGUGAGCACUCAGGGCUGAUUUCCUUCAGAAUGGAUAAGUUUGAUCUUCUUGCAGUCCAUAGGACUCUCAAGAGUCUCCUCCAGCACCAGAAUUCAAAAGCAUCCAUUCUUCGGCGAUCAGCCUUCUUUUUGGUCCAGCUCUCACUUCCAUACAUCACUACUGGGAAAACCAUAGCUUUAACUAUACGGACCUUUGUUGGCAAGGUAUUGUCUCUGCUUUUUAAGAUGCUGUCUAGGUUUGUCAUUGCUUUUCUCCCAAGAAGCAGGCGUCUUUUAAUUUCGUGGCUGCUGUCACCGUCUGCAGUGAUCAGACAGGCCACAGCUCAGCUCUAAUCAGAAGCAUUUAUCUAGGGCCUACUACAACUCCCAUCACCUCCAACUGCUGCCUAUGCUAGCUGGGGGCUGAUGGGUUGGAGUCCAGGGACACUUGGAGGGCCACAGAUGCUCCCCACCUUUGCUUUUAAAGGAGUGACAUCAGUUUCUAGCAUCCUGCCUAUGAAACCCCUGGGGACCCCCCCAAAAAAGCUUUUUUUUGGCAAAGAUCUGUUGGGGGUGCAGUGUAGAAUCACAUGCUCAUAGAAUUGCAGAGUUGGAAGAGACCUUGCAGUGGCAGACUUUGGUAAUACGGUGCCCUGAGAGAAGACAAAAUUUGGCGCCCCCCCCGCAGUGGAUCCAGUGGUCUACUUGGAGGUUGGCAGUAGAGCAGCAGGGAGGAGGAGAACUCCCUGCCCCAUCCAGCCCCCAUGCUUAUCUUCAGUGGGGAGGGGGGCUGUGUGUACCCACCAGCUGCCCUCUCACCACUGGAAGGCUUCCCAGGAUUGAGUCCUCCGCAGGCCUGCAGCUCAGGGAGUGAGAUGAGGAGGAGGAGGAGGAGGAGGAGGAGGAGGAGGAAGCAGCGACUGGAGCUGUACCAGCUCCGAGCGUUAUUUUAUUACUUUGUUUUCUUAGAUUUCUAUACCACCCUUCAUCACAAGAUCUCAAGGCGGUUCACAAGAUAAAAACAAGGCAAAAGCACAAAUACAAUACAAAAUACAAAAACCCCCAAAAUAAUAACCCCUUCCACCCCCCAAACACCAAACCAUGAGGAUGCCUCAACACCUUGUGCAGGGGAACUGCCUGCAUCACCCUAAAUCCCUAAAUUCACAUCCUAAGCCCUUUUAAAAUGUGCUUUUUUGGGGUGGGGGGUGUUAUUGGGUGGUUGUUUUUAUUUUUACAGUGGAACCUCGGGUUGCGAAUGUGAUCCGUGCGGGAGGCACGUUUGCAACCCGCAGUGCCGUGUCUGCGCAUGCACGUGACGCGACUCGGUGGUUCUGUGCAUGUGGGAGCACCGAAACCCAGAAGUAACCCGUUCCGGUACUUCCAGGUUCGGUGAAUCCAUAACCAGAAAACGCGCAACCCGCAGCGUUCACAACCCGAGGUAUGACUGUAUUAUGUAUUUUGUGGUUUUGUAUCUUGAUUUUAUUCUGUGAACCACCUUGAGACCACCCUGGGUAUAGGGCGGUAUAUAAAUUCAACUAAUAACCACCACCACCACCACCACAAUAAUAAACCCACACUGGGAUGCCGAGGGUCAUCAAAUCCAAGCCUCUGGCAUGCAGGAAUCACAGCUAAAGAAUUCCUGGCAGGUGGUUUUGCGGUCGCACUUGUUUCAUGAAAGUCAUUUCCAAAUAAAGUUGCGCUCAAGGGCAUAGCCACCCCAUAUGAAAGAAAGAGGCUGGUCCUCAUGAAAAUCCACCAGUGUUUUAGUGCAGAUUCCUCCCAUUCCCAACAUAUUUGCCCAAUUUUUCGAAGGAGGCCUGCAUUUUGGUCCGUACAUUUCCCUGGAAAGUGCGGAAUUAGGUAGUUUCGCCACCGAAUUGAAUAUCCACCCCAACCAGCCUAGAUGUCACCUAAAUAAAAAAGGAAGUGUGUGUGUGCGCGUGUGUGUAGGGGAAUAUAUGUACUUUUGGCAGCUGUCAAAAAGGACCCAGGGAAGUUAGAGAGAGAGAGAGAGCUGACUCUUGCCAAAGGUUGACCAUCGGAGAUGAGACACCCACUUCCAUCCCCCCCCCAUCUUGUAACUUUCUGUGAAAUCCCGCUGCAUCCCAGCCCUGGAGCGCCAUUACUAUUCCGGCCGUAGCCUUCCCAAGGAAAAUAGAAGCAGCAGAUUGAGGCCUGUUUUCAUAUUUGAUGGAGGACUAGAUAAAUGGCAGUCAGGUUGCAUUGAUAAGGCCCUGCUCUGGGGCCUAACCUCUCUCUCAGAAAGCCUCUUACUAUUCAUAGAGGAGAGCUAUCUGUACAGCUGCACCUUGACACAAAUAUAUCUGCACCUCAGAUGAACCAAUUCGCCCAGAAAUUACAGCACUGGGGAUUGCAUCUGUUGGAGGAAGGUGGCGGGGGAGAGAAGCUAAGGAGGGGGACGAAUGCAAGAAUUGCCUCUCCUCCCCGCCACCCUCAUGCCUCUUUUCAACUCUCGGCCAAAUAGCCUUUCCGAGAAGCAAGCUUUCUCCCCAUCACUUUUGCAGAAGUUUGUGGUUUUGGCGGAGGAAAGGAGAAGUGAAAAUGGCCUCUUUGACUUACGUGGUCCGAUGCUGCCAGCUUCUGGGAUGCAGGGACAUAGAGGGGCUGUCUCUCACAGAGUCAGGACAUGGGGCCAUUCGGCUCGGGGUUGUUUACACUGGCAGGCAGUGGCUGCCCAGGCAGGGGGCAUUCCCAGCUCUACCUGGAGAUGCUGGGGAUAGAACCCGGGACCUUCUGCAUGCAAAGCAGGUGCUCUGGCCCUGAGCCACACAGCCCUUCCCCAUAGCUGAAUAUCACCUUCGGGAACCCCUCUGAGCUCAAUGUGUUUGUGAGAGAGGCAGCAUCCUAGUCCUCAUGGUUCUGAAUGAAGGGUGGUUCAAAUCGGAACGUAGGAAGCUAUCUGACACUGAGUUAGGUAGUUGUCCCAUCUAGUACAGUGCUGCCGACACUGACUGGCAGCAGCUCUCCAGGGUUUCAAGUGGGCGAAUGGAGGUCUCUUCCAACCUGACCCGCAGAUCCCAGGGAUGGAAGCGGACGCCUUCUGCAUGCACAAGCAGAGCUCCGGUCCUUCAAUUAAAAAUAAAUUAAGUUUCUAGUCCUCAUGCCAGUGCUGAAUCAAACAUGAAAGUAGGAAGCUGCCUUAUACCAAGUUGGACCUCCCCCCCGCCCAAUAGUGUCAAAAUCCACCUAGGAACACUCAAAAUUCCCCUUUCUACUGUGAAAUGUUGGCCCCCUCCUGUUUUCCAUUCCACAGCCAGCUGCAUUUGUCCACCCACCCCCAGUUAUCAGGCUCACGGCUUCGCCGCAUCCCCAGAAGGGAACUCUCAAUGACUUGGCCACAUUUAAAGGCUUUUUGCUGAUGACAUGAGUUUUUUCUUUUCUUUUUUAAUUCGCCGCAGGAGACGCGAGCGGAUAAUUCGUCUGCCCGAGGGGGCAGUGCCGGAGCGGGGAAACGGCCCCCAAGUUGGGGUGGUGUGUGUGUGUGUGGGGGAGAGAGAGCCCUUUACAAUGAGAGUCCCCUUGGGAGCUGGGACCCGAGAUCCUCAUGAUGAUGAUGGAUGCCCGUUGGGGACGCCCCGCAUCUCUCCCCAGAAAAUUAAAAGCCUAUUUGGUGCUCUGCUAACAAUGCACCGCCUGGAAACCUCCCCCUUAUCAAUCAGCCUGGGCUCUUCCUCCUCCUCCUCCUCCUCCUCCUCCCUCUUGAACAACAAAUCGUCCACCUCCGAGAAAUACAUGUGUGCUGCAUUCAAUCUAGAAUCAUAGAAUCAUAGAAUCAUAGAAUCAUAGAAUCAUAGAAUCAUAGAAUCAUAGAAUCAUAGAAUCAUAGAAUCAUAGAAUCAUAGAAUCAUAGAAUCAUAGAGUUGGAAGAGACCACAAGGGCCAUCGAGUCCAACCCCCUGCCAAGCAGGAAACACCAUCAGAGCACUCCUGACAUAUGGUUGUCAAGACUCUGCUUAAAGACCUCCAAAGAAGGAGACUCCACCACACUCCUUGGCAGCAAAUUCCACUGUCGAACAGCUCUUACUGUCAGGAAGUUCUUCCUAAUGUUUAGGUGGAAUCUUCUUUCUUGUAGUUUGGAUCCAUUGCUCCGUGUCCGCUUCUCUGGAGCAGCAGAAAACAACCUUUCUCCCUCCUCUAUGUGACAUCCUUUUAUAUAUUUGAACAUGGCUAUCAUAUCACCCCUUAACCUCCUCUUCUCCAGGCUAAACAUGCCCAGCUCCCUUAGCCGUUCCUCAUAAGGCAUCGUUUCCAGGCCUUUGACCAUUUUGGUUGCCCUCCUCUGGACACAUUCCAGUUUGUCAAUGUCCUUCUUGAACUGUGGUGCCCAGAACUGGACACAGUACUCCAGGUGAGGUCUGACCAGAGCAGAAUACAGUGGCACUAUUACUUCCCUUGAUCUAGAUGCUAUACUCCUAUUGAUGCAGCCCAGAAUUGCAUUGGCUUUUUUAGCUGCCGCGUCACACUGUUGGCUCAUGUCAAGUUUGUGGUCAACCAAGACUCCUAGAUCCUUUUCACAUGUACUGCUCUCAAGCCAGGUGUCCCCCAUCUUGUAUUUGUGCCUCUCAUUUUUUUGCCCAAGUGCAAUACUUUACAUUUCUCUCUGUUAAAAUUCAUCUUGUUUGUUUUGGCCCAGUUCUCUAAUCUGUCAAGGUCGUUUUGAAGUGUGAUCCUGUCCUCUGGGGUGUUAGCCACCCCUCCCAAUUUGGUGUCAUCUGCAAAUUUGAUCAGGAUGCCCUUGAGUCCAUCAUCCAAGUCAUUGAUAAAGAUGUUGAAUAAGACCGGGCCCAAGACAGAACCCUGUGGCACCCCACUAGUCACUCUUCUCCAGGAUGAAGAGGAACCAUUGAUGAGCACCCUUUGGGUUCGGUCAGUCAGCCAGUUACAAAUCCACUGAGUGGUAGCAUAGUCAAGACCACAUUUUACCAGCUUCUUUACAAGAAUAUCAUGAGGCACCUUGUCAAAUGCCUUGCUGAAAUCAAGGUAGGCUACAUCCACUGCGUUCCCUUCAUCUACCAGGCUUGUAAUUCUGUCAAAAAACGAGAUCAGGUUAGUCUGACAUGACUUAUUUUUCAGAAAUCCAUGCUGACAAUCUAAAUGCUUUCCAAUUCGUUUGGACAUUCCCUAUUAAUGCAGAAGGUUGGUUUGUUUUUAAAUUGGUUUAGACCAGCUGUGGGGACGUUUUCUCAGCCUGAGGGCCACAGUCCCUUCUGGGUAACUUUCUGGGGGCCGAAUGACAGUGGUGGGUGGGGCCAGAGGCAAAAGUGGGUGGAGCAUCACAUGCUAAUUUUACCUUGGUACAGUAGACUCGUUCCUCCUCCUCCUCCUCCUCCUCCUCCUCCUCCUCCUCCUCCUCCUCUCUCUCUCUCUCUCUCUCUCUCUCUCUCUCUCUCUCUCUCUCUCCCCCUCUCAUCUCCAUCCUUCCUCCGGGUAAACAAAUGGCUGUGUUAGAGCUCAAGGACACAUUUCCAUCCAGGCAAAAACACCCAAGGAGGAUGUGAAGCAGAUCUAGUGAGGAGCGUUGGUCUGAGGAAAGGGUGUGUGGCCUGCGGACGUUUCCGAGGCCCAGCCCACAGAGGGCAGGCUGCUCAUUUACUAGUGGGGAACUUUUAUAUGCCUGUUGUCUUUGUCCAUGGAGUUUUCUUGGCAGGGAUACUGGAGUGGCAUGCCAGUUCCUGCUCCAGGUGGAUCACGUUUGGUCAAAACUCUCCACUACGACCUGUCCAUCUUGGGUGGCCCUGCACGGCAUAGCUCAUAGCUCCUCUGAGUUAUUCAAGCCCCUUCGCCAUGGCAAACUGACCAAACUGCAGGAGGCCGUGGAAGACAGGAGUGCCUGGCGUGCUCUGGUCCAUGGAGUCACAAAGAGUCGGACACAACUAAAUGACUAAACAACAAAGUGGGGAACUGUGUUUGGCUCUGCCCAGGAAGUUUGAGAAACCCAGUAAUAUUGUGGUUUUUAAAUGGACAGUGUAAUUGUUGAGUUUGGACCUAUCAUGCCAAAGAUCGGGUGAAGUCAUGGCAAAGUCACAUUUUUUUUUUUAAAUGAUAUUUAUUAAAAUUUCAAAAAAAAGAAAGAGAUUACAUUAAUAAGAAAAUUAACAAUAAAAAGGAAAAAUUAACAAUAAAAAGGAAAAAUACAAAAUACAAAAUACAAAGAAAGGAAAAAACAGUUAAAAACAAUUCCAUAUUUUCAUCACUUCUCUUACAUUUACUUAUUUCCCGGACCUCCUCAUACCACCCUCUUUUGUAUUCCAAUUCAGUUUGUUAGUCCAGCAAUUCCUUUCCCUCCUUUUUAAUCCUGAUCUUUAAUCUUGAUAUGUUAUAACAUUAAAUUUUUACGUAUUAGAAACCAAUUUUUCCAUAUUCUUUUAUACCAUUACAGCUAGAAACCACUUAACUUCAAUCCGACAUCAUUCUAACAUUCAUUAAUUUUAGCAAAGUCACAUUUUGGUGCACCAGCUGGAAUCAAAAUGGUGCCCAGUGCCCAAUGACUAAGACUGCCACCCACACCUGGCAACCUUCAUGCUGAGUUGGGCGAUGAUCUCUCAAGAGGCAGCCAGACCGAUGCCAAAGUCGUGUUUUGGCCCACUGUCUCGAUUCAAAAUGGCGCCUGGUGUCCAAAAGGCAACAAAGACCCCCUAUCCCCAUCUUGGGAAGCCUUGUGCAGAGUCUGGGGAUGAUGUCUUGAGAGGCGGCCGAAUGCAUAGAGAACAAACAGACAAACGGCCGAGCCAUUUCUUCAAAUGUAAGAGUAGAUCAGAAGCUACUUAUUUUAUCCCAUUCCUAUCACAGCCUUUGGGCAAAACCGCAUGGACAAUUUCUGCGUUACGAGAAAUGCUGAUGAAUUUUCGUGAGGAUUAAAUUUUUUUUUACAAUAAAUUCACAAACUGAAGUGGAAAUGUGGUGAGAACUGGUUUAAGAUUGUGAAAAAACGGGAAAUGAAGGAGCAUCGCAAUCAACAACUUUGCUUGUCCCUCUUUCUCUCUCUCUGCUUUCCAUUUUUCAAUUGCAUUUGUAGAAAGCAAUUCCUUCCUGAAACCUUUGCUGCACAAUGCCUCCCCCCCCCCGCAAAUCCUGCCACUCUUUGGCUGGUUAUCUGACAUUUUGGCAGCUCCAACUUCCACCGCUGAGUACCACAUGCCCCUAUCACCUCAGGGGUGGGAUGGGCAGCAGGUUUGGCUGAAGAAGGCCGUCCCCAAAUGAUCUGCCUUGCGCAGCCAAAGACCUAAGAGCAAAAUAAAGAAAGAGAGACUCGCACACCUACAAAACAGGGGUCCCAUUAAACGUAAGUAAAUAAACAAGAGAGGAAUGCGCUUGGGCUGAAGGCAGUCCGCACAGGUUUGAAGGUUCGAUCUCUGCCCUCCUCUCCCCAAUUUAUCUCUUGCCCGCUCAACGAUAAAAGUGAAAUUUGGGGUUUCGGUGCCCCCCCUCCACCAUCCCGCCUCACUCGCUAAACUGGCAUCUGUUCUGUGUUCAGUUUGCAGGAGCAGAUGCCUGCUUGCCUGAUCUGUCAGCUGCAAGCUGCCCACAGAUGCCAAACAUUUAGCAAGGCUUCUCCGCCCCCCCACCCCGUCCUCGCAAACGCCACUGCCAGCUUCCUUCUUGGGAAGGUGGCAGAGGAGAGAGCGGGCAGAGGCUGUCACCCUUUGCGAACCGGAUCGGACACACAUGGAAAAGAGAUGCUGUUCAUUCCCCUCCCCCGCUUCCCCACGGCUCCGCAUUGGCCUGAAUAUAAGCCUCACUUUUUUCCAAAUUCCGACCAUGAAACGUUAAAGUGUGGCUUAAAUUCGCGACCUUACAAAAAUUGGCUUUUACGAUUUUGCUGCCGAAACAGACAUACGGUAAAACGGAACGGGUGUGAGUGCCUGCGGAAUUUUAAGGGAGUGGCUUAUAUUCAGGUAUUGUCUUUUUCUCUCUCCACCCCCCCCCCCGAAUUUUAAAGGUGAGGCUUAUAUUCGGGUGCGGCUUAUAUCCGGGCCAAUACAGUACAUUCUGACCUCCUCUGGCACAUAGAAGUCAUGGGGUUGCCAUCAGAGAGACCAGAGAUUGGUGCCAUCUUGGCAGAGGCUGGAAAAGAUGGCCAGGGAUUAGGAAAACACACACACACACACACACACACACACACACACACACACACACAGUGUUAGAUAGGAACAUAGGAUAGCAAGCCACCUUAUACCAAUUGGUCCAUCUGACUUAGUAUUAUUGACACUGUCUGGCAGCAGUUUCCCAGGAUCUCAGCCCUAUCUGGAGCCGCCAAGGAUUGAAAUUUGAACCUUCUGCAUGCCAGGCACCUGUUCCAACACUGAGUUCUGGUCCUUCCCUUGGGAGCAGACGAUUUGGUCCAUGCAGCUCAGUACUGUCUACACGGGCUGGCAGCGACUCACUAGAGCAGGGAGUCUUUCCCAGCCUAUCUGGAGGUCCUGGGGACUGAUCCUGGCAGACAUCUGCACACACUAUCCACUGAGCUACUGGCCAUAGGCUAUGGUUUGACCAACAGCAGGGAUUGUGGGGGACCUGUGGCCCCCUUAGGAACCUGUUGGGCUCCCAUCAGCCCCAGUUGACAUGGUCAAUUGUCAAGGAUGAUGGACUGCUCAGGCAGGCAGGGGCUGGCUGAGAUUGGCGGGGCAGGGCUCAUUGACCCCAGCGGACCGGCCUCCACCAAUCAGAUUGCCUUUGUGGGUGCUGCUGGUAGGAGCACAGAGAGAAGAAACACAGCUGUGCAUUUGCAGCGGCACAACCAGACGCUUUUAUCUGCCCCAGUGGCAACGAAACAUUCGUCUCCCACAUCAGUCUCUGCAGCCACAGCAGGCGCUGCGACUCUCCAACGGUUUGACUUCUCCCCAAAGAUGCACUCCUCCAUUGUCUCCCAAGACAGGAGGAAACCAACAACCAUUUGUCGUAGGACCAAACUCUGGCAAGGAAAACACAUGCCGGGCUCUUUGCUACGUUGCUUUGCAGGACAAAUAAAUUAAAAAACGAAAUGUGCGUGUUCUGUCUCUUUGCAUGUUGGAAAACUAGACCCCCCCCCCAAGAGCUGGCUGGAAAAGAGACAUCUUGCUGAGGCGAGCCCAGAACAAAUGCACAUGUCAACAGCUACAAGUGUGGGCUCUUCAGGCCCCUUGGUGGUGUGGAGCUGUUUAAAUCUCCCCCCCCCCCGAGAUAAAUGUGGCUUUAAUGGACCUUUCACUCUUUUCUUUCUUCCCCUUCUCCCCACAUUGUGCUACGGUGGGGCAGGCAGACGUGUGGACCCGCUGCCUGCACCAGGGUGCCUGGCCCUCCCACCCAGCCGCUCUGCCCCACCCAUCCGUGCAGGCCCCACAAAGAAGGGGUCACUUCUGGUGUCAAGGAGGGUGUGUGCGUGAACCAGCUGAGAAGCUCAGAGCACCGAACGGCACAAAUUUCAGCCACAAUCUGGAACGGAGUAGGUGGGGGGAGGGAGAGGCUCCCCCAACCCGGACGGGAAGUCCCGAAAUGGCAUAUGGCCCUUACUCUAGAGAAUUCCCAUUCAGAGUGCCUGCAAGGGAGAGCCAUAACUCUUUAUGUCCUUUUCCACACCGGCUUGUCUCUCUGUUUGUGGGUUGUGCCUGCUGCAAAAAAAGGAGAAGGAAUUCCUGUGGGCCAUUUUGGAGGGCAAAUAAAGCGGGGGGGGAUGAUGCCCCCCUUUACUUCCCUGACUCCAUCUGCACCGAAACCAAAUGAAGCAUGGAGACCUUGCCUCCUCUGCCUUCCACCAACCCUCCUAUUUCAAAUUUCACAGAAAAUGUCUUUUGUGCAGUCUAGGGAUGGUGGUGGUGGGCCUGUAUCUGGUUUUGUGAUCAAUUUCAUGCCGAUUGCUUCCUGAAACACAUCUGUGGCACCAGCAAGGAGUCUUUCCCCUCUGCCCUAGACAGCCUGUGCCUUAGAAUAGUAGAAUCACAGGAUGGUGGAGUUGGAAGGGACCCCAAAAGUCAUCUAGUCUAGCCCCCUGCAAUGCAGGAAUCUCAGCCAAAGACUCCGUGAUGGAUGGCCGCCCAAACUCUGCUUCAAAACAGCCAAGGAAGGAGAGACCACCAUCUUCCGAGGGAGCCUGUUCCGCUGACGAACAGCUCUGACCACCGCCAGAAAGUUAUUCCUAAUGUGUAGUUGGAAUCUCCCUCGUGGUCCUUUGACUCCAUCGUUUGGUCCUCCCCUCCAGAAGCUUGUUCCUUCUUCCCUUGAGAUAUUUGAAGAUGGCUCUCAUAUCACAUUUCAGCCUCCUCCUCUUCUCCAGGCUGAACCUCCACAGCCAAUUCAACCAUCUUGAUGGGCUUCUGACUUUUCUAGGGAUGGGAGAUGGAGAUGGAUAUGGAUGAAAAAGGUUAUUUCUUCACACCAGGAGGUAGAUCUGAAUCUUUGGGAAGGUCCCAGGGUGAUUCCUGGUGGAUCGGGAAGGGUUUCUUUCCUAAGAUGUUGACGUGCUGAGGCAGACCAUUGAGUCCAUCUGAAUCAGUGGCUCUCCAGAGUUUCAGGCAGGGCUCUCUCUUGGCCCUACUUGGAGUUGCCAGGGAUCAAACAUCGGACCUUCCACAUGCAAGGCAGGUGAUCUGCCACUGAGCCACAGCCCUUCCCUAAAAAACCAAAGCAUGGUUUUGUAUUAAGACCUCAUUUAAACAGAAGCACAGGAAGUUGCUCUCCAGAGUUUCAGAUGGGGGUUCGCCCCAGACCUGCUUGGAGAGGCCAGAGGUUGAACAGAAUACCUUCUACAUGCAAGGCAGUGUUGAUUUAAAGCAGAGUCUGUUGUGCCCAGCGGAAGGAUGAGGAAAAUGUGCUGCAUACUCCUGUUGCUUUAUUUACAGUUCAAAGCUGGUAUAUUACAGAAAGACAUCUUGCCUCUGCAAGAGCAGAAAAUGCAUCCUCUCUCCUCAACAGCUUGGAGAGAAAAAAAAAGUGAAAAACAGGAAACCAGUGUACGUCACAUCCAGUCUCCCUUUCCCGUGAGAAACUCCAACAGUACAGACUGUGGAAUGUAAAACAAUGUCUUGUGACUGCAGUUGCUGCUCAGUGAGGGAAAUAGAAACCAACAUCCUCCCCUUUCUGUGAACAUCACUGGGCAGCGUGUUCGUACAGUAUCAGUACAAACCCAACUUCUGCACAUAGGUACAGUGUUGAUCCCUUGAUACAAUCUUGGACAAUACAUCAGCAGGAAUUUCAUUACCUGGCAUAUAGGACACCGUUACGAGUCCCUUCUGAAUACAUUCCCUAGCAUGCUGCAACUUUAAUUGCAAGUGCUUUGUGCUUUGCUUACAACCUUCAGACUUCAGCAAAGCCAAACAUGCUUUGUUGUCCUGGUAAACCUGGAUUGGACAUUUGACAGGAAUUUUCAUAUCUUUGCACAAUUGUACUAACCAUUCACAAUCCUUAAGUGAAUAAGACAGUGCAUUCAGUUCGGCUUCACAAGUACUUAAGCUAACUGUUGUUUGCUUCUUGCAUGACCAAUCAAAUAGACUCUGAUUGUACAUGUAGCAAACUCCAGACGUACUUUUCCUGUCUGUAGCGUCACUUCCAAAACUUGCAUCUGCAAAUAUCUCAAGACCACCAGACUUCUGAUUGUUAAAUCUCAGUCUGUAAUGCAUAGUGCCUUUCAAAUACCGCGCUAUGCGUUUCAGAGCUUUCCAAUCCUUGACACUAGGAUUGUUGACUUGUCUGCUUAGCAAAUUACAGCUAACAGCAAUGUCUGGUCUUGAACAUCUGGCAAUGAAGUUUAGCUUGCCUAGCACACUCCUGUACAGUGUAGUGUCAGAAAAUGCUUCUUCAGUGUCAUCUACCUGAUAACCUGUUGUCAUCGGUGUGUCUACAGGGUUAGCAUCCAUCAGAUUUAGUUUGCUUAACACAUCAGCAAUUUUCCGUGACUGGUGUACUAGAAUGUUACCAUCUUGAUCUCUCUCUAUUUCCAGAGAUAGGUAGUUGUUUACCUCACCAAGAUCUUUCAUGUCAAAGUGCUCUUUCAGUUGAGCUAGGGCGCUAUUGUACAUUGCAACAUCUUUCCAAAAGAAUAAUAAAUCAUCAACAUAAAACAAACAGUACAGUUUCUUUUGCCCCUCCUCUUUGACAAAUACAUAUGGAUCAGCUUUCCCUUGCUGAAAACCUAGAGAAAACAAUACUUCAGUGAGUUUUGUGUGCCAACACCGUGCACUUUGUUUGAGACCAUAAAGGGAUUUCUUCAGAGCACAAACAAAUCCCUGUUUUACCUGUACGCCAUCAGGUGGAAGCAUAUAAAGUGAUUCAUCUAGAGAUCCGUACAGAAAAGCUGUAUUAAUAUCAUGGUGACUAAUGUGUAGAUUUUCCUCUGCAGCUAGCUUGAGCAUAAGCCUAAUGCUUUCAUAUCUCACUGUGGGUGAAUAGGUCUCGUGAUAGUCUUGACCUGGUACCUGUGCAAAACCUCUGGCUACCAAUCUGGCUUUGUGUCUGACUAUCUUGCCAUUUUGAUCUGUCUUCGCCUUGAAGACCCAUUUGCUUCCAAGCAGUUUCAUUCCUGGAACUACUGGAACUAGCUCCCAUGUUUUGUUCCUUUCUAAGGAAUCAAGCUCAGCCUUCAUGGCAUUUAACCAUGGCUCAGCUUCCUUUGAAUCCAAACCCUGGAUUUCUUGGAAACUUGAAGGUUCAAAUACCUUCUUGGAGCUUUUAACAGCUGUUACUGCUAUCUUAGCAAACUCAUCAGCAAAUCUCUUUGGAGGUUUGCCUGUUGUGGCUCUCUGUGACCUACGAAUUAUUCUUAAGUCUUCAACACUCUCCUCUUCCUUCUUAGGAGAAAAACGACCUAUUGUGAACAAUGGUUCCUCCAAUUCUUGAUCAGAGCUUUCAGAGGGUCGCAUAGAGGCUUUCGCACUCUCGAAAUCCUCUGAAUCACCCGAUUCAGUUUCAGAUUCAGACUCAGAACCUUCAUCAGUGGGUGUGGGCUGUUGUGGUUGCUUUUGACUAUCCUCAGUCUCAUCACCGUCAUCAGGAUAACAUUGGAAAAUUCCCACAUUCUCCCCCACUUUGCAUUGUACUCAACACUUCUCGUGAGCUUAAUUGUCUUAGAGUCAGUCAUCAUUAUUCUGUAAGACCCUUUCUGAUAACCUAGAAAGAUACCAUGCAAUCCACGCUUGUCUAACUUGGAGUUUUGUGGUGAGCGAACCCACAUGUCAGAACCAAAAAUCUUCAUGUGUUUGAUGUAUGGCUUCUUGCCAAACAUCUUCUCAUAGGGGGUACAACCAAUCGCUGAAGAUAAUCUGCGAUUGUAACUGUAAACAAAACACGAGAGAGAUUCGGCCCAAUAACUCUCUGGAAGAUUGGCAUCAUGCAGCAAGGUUUUUAGACCUUGAAGCAAUGUCUGAUUUGCCCGUUCCGCAAGUCCAUUCUGCCAUGGCGAGCGAGGACUAGACAAAUCGUGUUGAAUUCCUUUCUCAGUCAGAAAAGCUUCAAACUGCUGAGAAGUGAAUUCCCCCCCCGCGAUCACUGAAAAGAGUCUUUAUCUUCUUACCAUGCACAUUUUCCAACCAAGCACAGAAUUCCUUGAACCUAGGAAAAGCCUCCGAUUUCUGCUUGAGAUUGUACACAAAAAUAUAUCUAGAAAAUGCAUCAAUGAGAACCAUGAAGUAUCUAUUUCCACCCAAAGAGGGUGCUAAUGGUCCAACCAAAUCAGCAUGAACAACCUGGUAUGGUUCUGUAGCUUUCCUACUAGACACCUUACCUUUCGCAGCCAUUUUCACCUUGUUUGCUGCGCAUGCUUUGCACUUCAUGUGGUACCUGCAGGGUUUAAUAGUCAUACCUUCAACCAAGGCAGGCAUUUUAGAUACUGCCUCAAAAUGCAAAUGACCAAAUUUUCGAUGAAAAGCGUGAAUACAUUCUGCAUGCAAACUUUUGUUAGAACCUGCAAUGCAACAAGUGUCAUCCUGCACCACAUCAUCAUAAUACAAAACAAACAAAUGAUCAACAUAUUCUGCAUGCAAUACAUAAUCAUUUUUCUUUGUGAUGAUGCACUUCUUGUUCUUGAAGGAAACGUCAAUGUUCCGCUCAUUCAGCUGUCCAACGCUGAGCAGAUUAUGUUUGGCGUCUGGCACGUAAAGCACAUUCUGUAUCGAUAAGUCCAAACUGUGAAGAACAACAGUUCCGUAGCCUUUACUGGGAAUAGUGUGGUCAUCCGCCUGGUGAAUCGCACCUUCCUGCGGUGUAAAAGACACAAACAGUUUCUUAUCGUUGCACAUGUGGUGGGUGGCCGCUGAAUCAACAACGAAGAAAGAUCUAGACGUCUUCUGGACCUCUGCAACCUUUGGAGUGAAGCGUGAAACCAUAGCCUUGUGCUGCGUUGUCCUAGACACCGGACCUUUGCCUUUGCCUCGGCCUUUUCCGCGCGAUGAGCUUUCGCUGCGCUGCUCUGUCUUGGCCUUGGGAUGUCUGCAUUCCCUCUUCAUAUGGCCUAGACGUCCACACGAGUAGCAUUUGACUGCCUUCAAAGCUUUGGCGCCAUCUGGUGGUUCCACUGCACUAUGGGAUGACGUCUGUGAAGACUCUCCCUUGCCCAUGCAGCUAGCACCCCGGCGAUCUGCUUCAUUUAAAAUCACGGCAGUAACAAAGUCCACUGUCAGCUGAGCAGUUGGUUGCACAGCAAUCUGGGUUGCAACAGACUCCCAACCUGAACCCAAAGAUUGUAGUAUCAUGAAAGAAUACACAGCCUCUGGAAAGUUGAGUCCUCUCUGUUGCAGCUCAUGUCUCAGAUUUUGCAUCUGCAUCAGAUGUAAACGCACAUCUCCACCUUCAGCAAGAGCCAUAUUAUGCAGCUUGUUAAAGUAAAACAUAGUUGAUCCAGCUUCUGUCCUUAAGUGAGCCUCUCUCAGAGCGUCCCAAAUUUCUCUGGCUGAGGUCUUAUCACGCAAUAGACAGAGCUCUUCUGGGGAUACUAUCAAUGUAAGAGUUCCCCUUGCUUUGGAAUCCUUAGCUUCCCAUGCAUCUGUAACUGGAACUGGGGGGGUUUCUGUAAUCACCUCAAACAAACCCUCUUUCCGCAGAAUUGCCUCUGCAUACUGAACCCAGUCACUGUAAUUUUUCUUGUUGAGCUUAGGAAUCCUACAAGCAUCCUGAAGGGCCAUCAUGACUCUGGCAUUAGCCUUCAGCGUCAUAUGCUGCUUUAAAUCUUGCUGCGUCACUGCUGCAGCUGCCUCAUUACAAAGGCACACUUAAAAGUUACUUCGAUUUCCCCAGCAUAGUGACUUGUGCCUGGGAGCCUUUUGCCUAUUUGCAAAACCGGCUUUAAAAGUUCAAAGUCCAGCCAUAAAGCCAUUAUCUUGAAGCUGGCAGGCUGCCCGGAGCAGUAGCACAUACCUCAUCAAUCACUUCUACGCGCAGAGCAGAUUCCUUUCCGAUCCGUCCCUCUGCAUUCCGAUCCUUUGCCGGCACUCCGAUUCGACCUCUGGAGUCCAUAACCACGUGUUGAUUUAAAGCAGAGUCUGUUGUGCCCAGCGGAAGGAUGAGGAAAAUGUGCUGCAUACUCCUGUUGCUUUAUUUACAGUUCAAAGCUGGUAUAUUACAGAAAGACAUCUUGCCUCUGCAAGAGCAGAAAAUGCAUCCUCUCUCCUCAACAGCUUGGAGAGAAAAAACACAGUGAAAAACAGGAAACCAGUGUACGUCACAUCCAGUCUCCCUUUCCCGUGAGAAACUCCAACAGUACAGACUGUGGAAUGUAAAACAAUGUCUUGUGACUGCAGUUGCUGCUCAGUGAGGGAAAUAGAAACCAACAGGCAGGUGAUCUAACUCACUGAUCUAGGCACCAAGGGCAUCCCCUGGAACAUGCGUAUAUUGGGGAAAGUGGGUGUAACGAUGAAUAUAUUUAUUUUUAAAAAAGCAUACAGAACUGCGUUGUAUUAGGGGGAAUUGCUUGCCAGUGUGUGUAGAUUAGUCAAAGCUGUGUACAAAAUAGAUGUGUUUAUUAGGAGAAAUCCGCACUGAAACACUGGUGAAUUUUCACUAGGGUGUUUUUGUUUUCACUUGCAAAUUUCCCGCAGGUAAGGUGGAAAACCGAGAAAACGAGAGGACCAAAACCAACAGUUUCUGAACAGAAAGGUCACAGCCUGCUGGUGGAAGGGUAACAAAGGGAACCAAUCUAACCUCUCCUGGGAGGGAAUGCCACAAUAUGGGAGCAGCCACGGAAAAGGCCCUGCUUCGUGUCACCACCAACGAUACUUCAGGUGUGGAUGGGACUGAGAGGAGGUGCUCACCUGAGGAUCUAAGCACCUGGGCAGGUCUGUAUAAGGAGACCCCAUCUUUCAAGUGGCCUGGGUGCAAGACACUUGGAGGGGUCCUUAAUCCCUUUUCCUUUUCUGCUGAAAAUUCCUCCAAACGAACGCUCCAAAACAACUCGCACCUUGCAACGUUCUACUUUGUCUGAUGGGCCCCGAAUUCUAAUAGGACCAGAGAGGGACCAAAACCCUUUUUGCUGCAUGGAAGGAUCUUGUAAAUACUAAGGCAACACAUUCACUAGAGAGCAAGGUGUGUGUAUGUGUGUGUGUUGUGGGGCGGGCAGGGGAGAUGCACAGAGAAAGUUGGACGUUGCAUUUUGGGGCUGGGCUGCUACUUUUACGACAUCCACUGCAGCUGUUGGGUGGCAGUUGGAGCCUCGGCAAUCCUUCUGGGAUGCCGUCUGUCAAGGCUGGCUGUCGGUAUUGUUGGUUUUUUUGGAGACCAUCGCGAGUCCCACCUCCUCGGAGCUUCUGCAGCAGGCCUCCUAUUCUUAUCCCUCUCACGCAGGCCGUAGAGAAAGCCCCCCUCCCCCUCCCCUUGCAUGCAGAAUUAAUUGGGAGGAGCGCAGAAGUCAAGUAACAACAGUGGCCCGCGUUUCGGUGUCUGUUGGCUGGCAGGAUUUGGCUGGGAUGCAGCCCAGUUUGCAAGUGUGUUCACCAUGGAGACAUCUUCAUCCUUCGCUUCAUCUUUCCUUCUCUCUCCUCCCCCUCCUCCGUCUCCCGCCCAUUAUGGGAUGCUGGCCCAUUAGAGCAAAUGGUGGGGAAACUUCCCCACCAACCUCAGUCACCCCCAGGGACCGGGGUGAGAUUUGACUCGGCUCACAUUUAAAGACGAGCCCACUUACCGAACUGUUUUUCCAAAAAUUGCAUUUCCCUGAAUUUUGCAAUGCAGACUCCCAAGCAAUUUAUGUGCAUGAAAAUGCAUGUACUAGGGCAGAGGUCCCUAAUCCCUUUUUUCUUCCCCAUGCUGGAGCACUUGAGAAUUUCUGAGGGUCUUGGUUUGAACGAUUUAUCUGCCCAUUGUAGCAAUUGUCAUGUGCGGUGCUCAACGUGGCAUACUUCUUAGUUGCAUUUUUACAGACGCAUGAAUGAAGCUCACAGAUUGCUGGUGGUCUUGGGCUGCAAUUUGGAGAGCCCUUGUAUUGGGGUGUGGGCAGGGUAGAGAGUGUGUGGCUCGGGGAGAAUUCUGAGCAUCAGAUCCAGAGGCCUGAAGAUCUGCACUGCUGCAUCGAAUUUUGGCCUUAGGCCGAGAAGCAAGACACAAUUACAGCAUUAAAUGAAUGUUCCAAGCACAAUUCAAUGUAUUGGUGUUGACCUUUAAAGCCCUAAACAGCUUCAGCCCUGCAUAUCUGAAGGAGCAUCUCUAUCCCCAUUGUCCAGCCCAGACACUGAGGACCAGCUCUGAGAGCCUUCAGGUGGUUCCUUCACUGUGAGAAGUAAAGUUACAGGGAACCAGGCAGAGGGCCUUCUCAGUAGUGGCACCCGCCCUGUGGAAUGCCCUACUAUAAGAUGUCAAGGAGGUAAGUAACUAUACAACCUAAUAAUAAUAAUAAUAAUAAUUUAUUGUUUAUACCCUGCCCAUCUGGCUGGGUUUCUCCAGCCACUUUAGAAAACAUCUGAAGGCAGCCCUGAAUAGGGAAGGUUUUUUUAAAAUGUGUAUUGUUUUAUUAUGUUUCCAUAUAUGUUGGAAGCUGCCCAGAGUGGCUGGGAUACAAAUAAUAAAAUUAUUUUUGUUAUUCUUUUUGUUAUUCUGUUCUUUCCUCUGCUUAAAAACUGACAUUUGCUUUUCACCCCUGAUAUUUCCCGACUUUCAUUGCUGUUGUCUGAAAAGACAGCUGUGAUGCAAACUGAAUGCAAUGCCUGCCUCCUAACCCAGGAGUGGGAAACCUGUAGCCCUCCAGGAAAACAACAAAACAAAACAAAACAAAACAAAACAAAACGGAGUAUACAAUGCAGGACUCCUGGGGGUGGCCUAGAGAGGGGGGGUGUAGAUGGGAGAGUGCCAGGGGCCCAGUGCAGUGGCCUAGAGGUCCAAGGCACCCUUGCUGUAAGCAAGAAUUCUGAAAAAUAAUUACAAAAGGGAGGAAGGGGCAGGAGAUCUGGGGCCCAGGGCAAAAAGGCCCCAGGCCCCGUUAGCAGCACCUUUUCUCAAAACUGCGUGCACAGACUCAAUCUCCUAUCUUCCAACUUUUCUUUCUCUCUGCGCUCCAUCUUCCCCAUCCAAGCCUGGCGUCCAAUCAUGAAUAAAAUUUGGGAGCCACCGCUUCUCUUUCCAACUAGUCAAACUUAAUCCUCCUUGGACACCUUCCUCCCGCCUGUUCCCUCCCUCCCUCCUUCCCUCCCCCAAUUCAGUUGCUCAUCCGUCCACACCGAGCACCCCGGACCCUUCCUAAUGUCGGAGGCAGAUGGGCCCCUUCACAAAAGGACCCUCAGCCUCUCCAAGCUGGUCCUUCCCCAUGCCUGAUUAAACCCUAAUACAGAAGUUAGAAUUGAUACAGUGGAACUGGGGGUGAUUCAAUUAGUGCAGCAAGCAUGAAGCAAACAGCACAAAGGAGACGGGGGUAGUUAGAAAGUCAUUUUCUUUUGAUCAUUAUAGCAUUGCGCACGUGGAAGCAGAGAAUUACAGGCUCAUGUGUCUUAGCUUAAUAUCCUCUGGGGCCAGAUUUGUCGUCACGUUGAAGUUGGCUGUCAGAAUGGGAGAAAUCACGCAGAGUUGAUGAAUUUGUAGCCUGGCUUUCCAAGAGGGCGGAAGCUGGAUCCGGGGGGGGGGGGGGAUAAAUAAAAAAUAAAUGCUGUCAGGUGAAUUGUAUUCUGUACCUCUAAAACUCACCUGUUUUCUUUCUCCUCUCCCUCUCUUGCUCUGUGAAUCUUUCUCUUCCUUUCACGGUGAAAAUGCCUAACUCAGGAGCCCAGCUGGGAAUGGAAGCCAGAUGACUUGGCGCAAACCCCACCUCUCUUUCGAAGACUCCAUAUCAGGCACUGUCAAUUCAUGUGGCCUAAACGACUGUCAGCCAGCGAAACAACCGCUGUUUUGAGGAUCAAAUGCUUCUCAUGGACUUAUGCACCAUGCACUUAAAGCACAUGGACAACACAAGCGCACACUCUGCAAGAAUCUGGGAUCUGUGCUUUACCUCUCGCAGAGAGCUACAAUUCCCAUUUGCCCUAGUGGAAAAACCACCACCGCUCCACCAUUUGAGCAAAAACUGGGCAUGGUUAAAGGAAAGGGGUUGGGUUAUGAGAUCAUCUUGGCCCUUCCCCAUGCUGGCUGCUGAGGCUGCUGGGAUUUGGCGUCCAACAUCUGGAGGGCCACAAAUGUCCCCCCUUACAAACAACCGAAUGACAGGUACACAUACUUAUCUCUAUGCUAUAGAAAGUUCCUCGGCUGAUUCUAUCAACUCAGUGGUCUCUUAAAGGCACAGAAGCAAACCAGGUUGCUUCUACUCCUGGUCAGUUGGCAAGUAGGAAGUUUUUCCGAAUCCAGUCUGUUCAUCUUAAGGAAUCUCUCUCUGUCUCUCCUUUUAUCUCCUUCUAUUCUCCUAUCUCUGUCUGGCCUCCCAGAUAUGCUAAUCAGUGUGUAAGUAUAUCCUUUCAGAUAAUUAUCAUACAUUAUACUCUGCUCAACUCUGUAUAAUUUCCUCAUCUGCAUAAUCGUAUUUGACUUCCUUAUGAAUGUAAAAACCAUCUUACCUUGGGCCAGUUAAUCUUCAUUGAUUGAAUAUCAAAUUCAUUUGAAUAUGUUAGCCAAAGCUCUCCCACCGCACCCCAAGGAGUAGAGAGAGAGAGAGAGAGAGAAGGUGGAGGAAAUCACAAGAGAAACGGCUUCUGUGGCUACUUUUGCCACGAUGUUGCCUGCCCUGAUCGAUCGUGCACUUUUAGCAGCAGGAUUUUGUAUAGAUUUACCCGGUAAGUAAGUCCCAUUGUGUCCAAGGGGCUUGCUCCUAGGUAAGCAUUAGGUGUGUCAUUUCUGGUUCCCCUCAAUUUCUCAUUUCCUCACCCACCAUCUUAAGUUCAGUUCUACACCAAUUUGCAAUUUUUUUAAAUAAAAAAAAAACCUUAUGAAAAUCUUUCUGCCUUUCAAGUGCAGUUUUCUCCCAUUUUAUAAAUUUUCACAUGCGCUUCUGACUAAUGCAGACAUUUGAAAAGUUUCCCUAAUACAACAGACACUGGGAUUUUACUGCAUGUUUACAUCCCCAAGCAGCCUGCGUAGGAUGCCAGGCAAUUUGAAAUGGGGAAGCCAACGUGAUUUAUGAUCUUGGGGACUACAACACCCAUCAGUCCAAGUCAACAUGACUGUUGGUCAGGAAUGACGGGACUUGUAGUCCCUGAUAUGUGGAGGGCACCUUGUUUUAGACUCUGGACUGACUGGAGGAAGAUUAAACAACAACAAUAAACAAACAUGGC